rfam:Bifidobacterium asteroides PRL2011, complete genome.
GAAAAUCAACCCUUCACUACGGAUCGUUCGGCACGUACCUGCCGAUGAAAGGAUGAACAA